rnacentral:misc_RNA from 1 species
GCAAACUUGGUCAUUUAGAGGAAGUAAAAGUCGUAACAAGGUUUCCGUAGGUGAACCUGCGGAAGGAUCAUUAUCGAGUUAGGGUCUUCACGGGCCUGACCUCCCAACCCUAUGUUUACCAAACCUAUGUUGCUUCGGCGGGCCCGUCUCACGACCGCCGGGGGACGGUAAGACGUCCUCUGGCCCGUGUCCGCCGGUGGCCAACCAUCCAAAUUCUGAUUCAAACAUGUUAACCUGUCUGAGUGUCAGUUUUUAAUUAAAGCAAAACUUUCAACAACGGAUCUCUUGGUUCUGGCAUCGAUGAAGAACGCAGC